AAUCAGGCCAAAUUGUCAAAGUGGCCAAAUUUGUAAAAUUUUAAAUACCUAGUUUUAAUUUUUACACUUUAUGAUUUAAUUCCAGUGUAAAAAAAAUUCAGCCCAAGCAGCCCAUUAAAACCCAUGGCCGAAUUUCCCCUUGAAAUUAGUAAUUAGGUUUUUUUUUAGAUUUCCUAAUAGGGUUAGGAAAAUAGUUAGGAGGCUUAUGCGUUCAAAAGUAAAUGGAACCAUUCAAGAAUUUAUUAGCAGGACCAUAGUUGUGUAAACGAAGAAAAAGAAAAUCAAGAUUCAAUUUCUUGAUUUCAAAAAAAUCAAGAAACCGAAUCUUGGUCAAGUUUUCUGUUUUGAGCAAUUUCAAGAAUCAAGAAAAUCAAGAUUUCAAAUCUUGGAAAUCUUGGUCCAAGAAACCGAAUCUUGCAGCUAACGCGCAUUGGAUCUCUGUUACGAGAAUCAACGAACCAAUUUUGGUAGAAAACGGAAUACAAGCCUAAGUUCUUGAAGGCAAGGCCCAAUAAGACGUUCCAAGCCCAAUCAGGAAAUUUAAAUAAGACUUAGUUGAAAAUCAGGCCAAAUUGUCAAAGUGGGCCAAUUUGUAAAAUUUUAAAUACCUAGUUUUAAUUUUUACACUUUAUGAUUUAAUUCCAAUGUAAAAAAAAAUUCAGCCCAAGCAGCCCAUUAAAACCCUUGGCCGAAUUUCCCCUUGAAAUUAGUAAUUAGGUUUUUUUUAGAUUUCCUAAUAGGGUUAGGAAAAUAGUUAGGAGGCUUAUGCGUUCAAAACUAAAUGGAACCAGUCAAGAAUUUAUUAGCAGGACCAUAGUUGCGUAAACGAAGGAAAAAGAAAAUCAAGAUUCACUUUCUUGAUUUCAAAAAAAUCAAGAAACCGAAUUUUGGUCCAGUUUUGCUGUUUUCAGUAAUUUCAAGAAUCAAGAAAAUCAAGAUUUCAAAUCUUGGAAAUCUUGGUCCAAGAAACCGAAUCCUACAGCUAAGGCGCAUUGGAUCUCAGUUACGAGCAUCAACGAACCAAUUUUGGUAGAAAACGGAAUACAAGCCUAAGUUCUUCAAGGCAAGGCCCAAUAAGACGUUCCAAGCCCAAUCAGGAAAUUUAAAUAAGACUUAGUUGAAAAUCAGGCCAAAUUGUCAAAGUGGCCGAAUUUGUAAAAUUUUAAAUACCUAGUUUAAAUUUUUACACUUUAUGAUUUAAUUCCAAUGUAAAAAAAAUUCAGCCCAAGCAGCCCAUUAAAAGCCUUGGCCGAAUUUCCCCUUGAAAUUAGUAAUUAGGUUUUUUUUAGAUUUCCUAAUAGGGUUAGGAAAAUAGUUAGGAGGCUUAUGCGUUCAAAAGUAAAUGGAACCAUUCAAG
rnacentral:lncRNA from 1 species